AACGAACGCUGGCGGCAGGCCUAACACAUGCAAGUCGAACGCCCCGCAAGGGGAGUGGCAGACGGGUGAGUAACACGUGGGAACCUUCCCAACAGUACGGAAUAGCCCAGGGAAACUUGGAGUAUACCGUAUAUUCCCGAGAGGGGAAAGAUUUAUCGCUGUUGGAUGGGCCCGCGUCGGAUUAGCUAGUUGGUGAGGUAGCGGCUCACCAAGGCGACGAUCCGUAGCUGGUUUGAGAGAAUGACCAGCCACACUGGGACUGAGACACGGCCCAGACUCCUACGGGAGGCAGCAGUGGGGAAUCUUGGACAAUGGGCGCAAGCCUGAUCCAGCCAUGCCGCGUGAGUGACGAAGGCCUUAGGGUUGUAAAGCUCUUUUGCCGGGGACGAUAAUGACGGUACCCGGAGAAUAAGUCCCGGCUAACUUCGUGCCAGCAGCCGCGGUAACAC
rnacentral:rRNA from 1 species